rnacentral:rRNA from 1 species
CUUCCGGAGCUAACGCGUUAAGUAGACCGCCUGGGGAGUACGGCCGCAAGGUUAAAACUCAAAUGAAUUGACGGGGGCCCGCACAAGCGGUGGAGCAUGUGGUUUAAUUCGAUGCAACGCGAAGAACCUUACCUGGUCUUGACAUCCACAGAACUUUCCAGAGAUGGAUUGGUGCCUUCGGGAACUGUGAGACAGGUGCUGCAUGGCUGUCGUCAGCUCGUGUUGUGAAAUGUUGGGUUAAGUCCCGCAACGAGCGCAACCCUUAUCCUUUGUUGCCAGCGGUCCGGCCGGGAACUCAAAGGAGACUGCCAGUGAUAAACUGGAGGAAGGUGGGG